rnacentral:rRNA from 1 species
AUACGGAGGGGACUAGCGUUGUUCGGAAUUACUGGGCGUAAAGAGUUCGUAGGCGGACUGAUAAGUAAGAGGUGAAAUCCCAGGGCUCAACCCUGGAACUGCCUUUUAAACUGUCAGUCUAGAGACCGGAAGAGGUUAGGGGAAUACCUAGUGUAGAGGUGAAAUUCGUAGAUAUUAGGUGGAACACCAGUGGCGAAGGCGCCUAACUAGUCCGGUACUGACGCUGAGGAACGAAAGCGUGGGGAGCAAACAGGAUUAGAAACCCCAGUAGUCC